rnacentral:rRNA from 1 species
UUAAAUUGAAGAGUUUGAUCAUGGCUCAGAUUGAACGCUGGCGGCAGGCCUAACACAUGCAAGUCGAACGGUAACAGGAAUCAGCUUGCUGAUUCGCUGACGAGUGGCGGACGGGUGAGUAAUGUCUGGGAAACUGCCUGAUGGAGGGGGAUAACUACUGGAAACGGUAGCUAAUACCGCAUAACGUCGCAAGACCAAAGAGGGGGACCUUCGGGCCUCUUGCCAUCGGAUGUGCCCAGAUGGGAUUAGCUAGUAGGUGGGGUAACGGCUCACCUAGGCGACGAUCCCUAGCUGGUCUGAGAGGAUGACCAGCCACACUGGAACUGAGACACGGUCCA